CGAAAAAUUUGAUGAUCGGUAUUCUUAGUUUUAAAUUUAAAUUUUAAUUGAUUCAUAUUUUUUAGUUAAAUUUAUUUUUAAAAUAAAUAAACGAGACAGAUAGUAUGCUAUCUUUAUCUAAAAAAAAUAUUGUAUCGGAUGACCGACUAUCUCUUACGCAAGUAACAAAAGCAUUAAUAUGUAACAUUUAAUAUUUAAAUUUAAUAUUUUAUUAGUUUAUGUUUUUAAGUAAAUUUAUUUUUUAAAAAAUAAAUGAAUCAGAUAGCAUAUUACCUUUCUCUCUUCAAGAAAAAAAAAUACAUAUAUCCGAUGGAGUCUCAAAUCUUGUUCAUACUAAAAAAAUUUCUGAAUUUGGCUCUCAUUUAACUUAUUUUAUCAUAUAGCUAUCAUGCUAUGAAUGGUUACGUGUAUAUUAAAAUUAAUUCUGAUUUUUUUUACUGUAUUAAUUUUUUAGGUGACUAUUUUCUAAAAUAAUUAAAUAAAAAUGUAUAGAAAAUAAAUUAAUUAUAAAAGAUUUUAACUUGAUUAUUCAAUCUUUCAAAAUUUUAAUUUUAUUACUCAAUCUUUUCAUUUAUUUAAUCUGAAUUGGUUAAUAGCUUUUCACUUUUAAAAUUUAAAUGUAUCAUUUAUCCCUACAGAUUUAGAUAAUACACUUAACAUAAUUCACGCAGCUAUAAACUCGUUAAAAUGAAUAAUUAAUUUAAAUUUGAAAACAAAGCAUCGUUGACUAAAUCAAAUAAAAAAUUUUAUAGUAAAAUUAAAAUUUUAAAAUUGGAUGGCAAAGUCAAAACAAUCCAUAGUUCAAAUAAGAACGGUAUAUUUUAGCUGUAUAAUUAUUUAUGAUUACUAUUAAUCUGUUCCCAAGUUUUAUCCAACAUUUUUAAAGCAUGCGAAUUAAUCAAUUAAAAAUUUGAAUAGAAUAUGUGAUAACAUAUUAAUAGUGUAUAAAAAUAAUAUUUUUUUAGAGAAAAAUAGCAUGCUACCUGUUUUGUUUAUUUUUUAAAAAAUAAACUUAACUGAAAAUAUGAAUUAAUUAGGAUUCGAACAUUGAACCUCAGACACCAACUACUAAAUUUUUUACUACUUGCGCUAGGAAUAGUCAGUAUCUAUAAAGAUAAUGUUAUCUGAAAUUUGUAA
rnacentral:lncRNA from 1 species